GUACUGUGCAAACGUUGUUCGGAAUCACUGGGCUUAAAGGGUGCGUAGGCGGCCGUUCAAGUCGGGUGUGAAAUCCCUCGGCUCAACCGAGGAACUGCGCCCGAAACUGGACGGCUUGAGUGAGAUAGGGGUGUGCGGAACUUCCAGUGGAGCGGUGAAAUGUGUUGAUAUUGGAAGGAACACCGGUGGCGAAAGCGGCACACUGGGUCUCAACUGACGCUGAGGCACGAAAGCCAGGGGAGCGAACGGGAUUAGAUACCCCGGGUAGUCCUGGCUGUAAACGAUGAGCACUAGACGGGAGGGGCUUCGGCCCCAUCCGGUCGCAGCGAAAGCAAUAAGUGCUCCGCCUGGGGGAGUAUGGCCGCAAGGCUG
rnacentral:rRNA from 1 species